GAUGAACGUUGGCGGCGUGCUUAACACAUGCAAGUCGAACGGUGAAGCAGGAGCUUGCUCUUGUGGAUCAGUGGCGAACGGGUGAGUAACACGUGAGCAACCUGCCCCUGACUCUGGGAUAAGCGCUGGAAACGGCGUCUAAUACUGGAUAUGUGAUGUGACCGCAUGGUCUGCAUCUGGAAAGAAUUUCGGUUGGGGAUGGGCUCGCGGCCUAUCAGCUUGUUGGUGAGGUAAUGGCUCACCAAGGCGUCGACGGGUAGCCGGCCUGAGAGGGUGACCGGCCACACUGGGACUGAGACACGGCCCAGACUCCUACGGGAGGCAGCAGUGGGGAAUAUUGCACAAUGGGCGGAAGCCUGAUGCAGCAACGCCGCGUGAGGGAUGACGGCCUUCGGGUUGUAAACCUCUUUUAGUAGGGAAGAAGCGAAAGUGACGGUACCUGCAGAAAAAGCACCGGCUAACUACGUGCCAGCCGCCGCAGUAA
rnacentral:rRNA from 1 species